GUUUGUACGUGAAUGCUGUUGCACAGCGGCUCGGGGUAGCGCUCACACUGCUUGCAGGUGGCCACUGCCCACCGCUGCCUUCCCUUUCGCCGUCCGCCUCGAUCAGGCAUCUCAUCCAUCUCCUGGCUCCACUUGAAGAAGGCCAUGAUCUUGUCCUCCUCACAGAGCUCCUCAAUCGAACGGAGAUCCCCUACCGCCAGCUCGCCAAUCCAAUGCCUCUCCUCUGUCCCAAGCCUGGAACCGAAGGAGGCAACUGGUGAAGCCAGAAAUAAAAAACAAACCUGGCAGCAUGUCCAUUCAUCAUCAUGUAUUAAGUUGGAUAUGAUCCAUACUUCAUAAAGAAGCUGGUUAUCGUAGAACUACAGGCGACAUGAAAGUGGCAAUCCUCGGAGGAGGCUGCCUUGGAUUCAAGAGAACCACGUGUUGGAAUUAUUAAUUGGGCUAAGGCCUAUGUGUAGAAUAAUUUCUAGGAAAAUCACAAAAGUCUAUCUCAUGAAAGCAUGCAUGAGAAUAUUUAGUACCACCUUGCUAGUUCUAUGAGAGUGAGAUCUUCUUAAAUAUUAGAGUGCUUUCUAGGCUCUUGAGCAAGAAGGAAAUAGAGCAACACGCGCGCGCUCGCUCGCCUGGCUCGGGCUAGGCCGGGCUGGGUGGCACGCACUCGUGCUUGCGCAGAUGCGGCUUCCUUUUGCAGUUUUGUUUUGCUGCGUGAAACGGAAA